GGUGAGGAACGAACAUCAACAUAAUUAUCUUUUCUUGUGACAGUUUCCCAGUCAUCGUCACUGUAGAAAAUACAUGUAUCGUCUGCGUAUGCUAUAAUAUCUCCCAUAGUGGGCAGACAGAAUAACUCAUUUAUAUAUAAGUUAAACAGUAUAGGACCUAAUACAGAGCCCUGAGGGACUCCAUACGUGAUCCGUUUUAAUUCGCUACGAUAAUUAUUUAUUGCCACAAACUGAUAACGAUGAGUGAGGUAACUCCUGAAAAAGUUUAAUGACACCCCUCUAGCACCCACUCUUUCCAGACAGUUUAACAACAGAUCAUGACUUACAGUGUCAAACGCUUUUGACAAGUCUAUAAAUACACUGAGGGAUUUUUUGUUGUCGUCCAUAGCCGAAUAUAUAUUGGAAGUAAGAUGAAGAAUAGCAUCUUGCGUAGAUACCCCAGCUCUAAAACCAUACUGUCUUGGUGAUAAUACCUGAUGUCUCUCAAGAUCUCGCACAAACUCCAAAGGCUCAGUAGAAGGUGAUCUAUACCCAGCCAAAAUAUUAAUAUUUUUUUGCUGAAACUGAAUCUCGGCUAGAAUCAAUUUAUUUCCA